UACGAAGGGGGCUAGCGUUGCUCGGAAUCACUGGGCGUAAAGGGUGCGUAGGCGGGUCUUUAAGUCAGGGGUGAAAUCCUGGAGCUCAACUCCAGAACUGCCUUUGAUACUGAAGAUCUUGAGUUCGGGAGAGGUGAGUGGAACUGCGAGUGUAGAGGUGAAAUUCGUAGAUAUUCGCAAGAACACCAGUGGCGAAGGCGGCUCACUGGCCCGAUACUGACGCUGAAAUACGAAAGCGUGGGGAGCAAACAGG
rnacentral:rRNA from 1 species